rnacentral:misc_RNA from 1 species
GCGUGUUCUGACACCCGCUGACCCCCUGUGAAUGCGCGGCGCGGCCGCUGUUGUUGCCUCGGCCAGACGCCCCAGGGCGGGGCCCCCGGCCUGGGAAGACCAGGCGCUGGCCGGCGGCGCGAACUUCUAGAUCCUGAUCGAGCGGAGCUCUGAGUCGACCGAGACGCGAAUCGCGAAAGAA